rfam:Ovis aries breed Texel chromosome 3, whole genome shotgun sequence.
CCCCUGGUAGCUCAGAUGGCAGAGAAUCUGCCUGCAAUGCAGGAGACCCAGGUUCAAUGCCUGGGUUGGGAA